rnacentral:rRNA from 1 species
GACGAACGCUGGCGGCGUGCUUAACACAUGCAAGUCGAACGGUAAGGCCCUUCGGGGUACACGAGUGGCGAACGGGUGAGUGACACGUGGGUGAUCUGCCCUGCACUUCGGGAUAAGCCUGGGAAACCGGGUCUAAUACCGGAUAGGACUCCUGGCUUCAUGGUUGGGGGUGGAAAGCUUUUGCGGUGGGGGAUGGGCCCGCGGCCUAUCAGCUUGUUGGCGGGGUAAUGGCCUACCAAGGCGACGACGGGUAGCCGGCCUGAGAGGGUGACCGGUCACACUGGGACUGAGGUACGGCCCAGACUCAUAGGGGAGGCAGCAGUGAGGAAUAUUGCACAAUGGGCGCAAGCCUGAUGCAGCGACGCCGCGUGAGGGAUGACGGCCUUCGGGUUGUAAACCUCUUUCAGCUAUGACGAAGCGCAAGUGACGGUAGUAGCAGAAGAAGGACCGGCCAACUACGUGCCAGCCGCCGCCGUAA